AGACACCGAACCUAAAUUUUUUGGAAACAGCUGUUUUAGCGCGAAAAAAAAUUGUUUUUAAAAAGUUACCUAAAUUUAAUUUCAUUGAAUUAUUGUUGUCUGACAUUAUAGAUUUUACUGUUAAAAAUACAGUCGUUUUUAGCUAGAGAUUUUUAUUUCAACAAUUAUGUUCUAAGACAAUAGGGUUUAGCUACUAGCUUCACUAGUUCUACAGACCUAGUUGGGUUGGAUUCUUAAAGAAGCUACGCCUCUAACUCAAGUCUAUGCUUCAUAUACCUGCUAUUUAAGCUCAAGGAGAUCAUUACAAUCACUGAAAUGUGCUUAAAACGAGAUCUUUUGUGAUAAUAGACUAGGUGGAAAUUUGAGAUUAAUCAGAUGAGUGUUGGGUUCCAAUUACCAACAUAAUUUGUACCAUUAAUGCACCUGUAACAACAUUUGGACUUAAUUGCAACACUAUUGAAAUAAUGAGUUAUCGUCAUUCAUUUGGACACAGAAGAAGAGC
rnacentral:lncRNA from 1 species